rnacentral:rRNA from 1 species
GAUGAACGCUGGCGGCGUGCCUAAUACAUGCAAGUCGAGCGAACGGACGAGAAGCUUGCUUCUCUGAUGUUAGCGGCGGACGGGCGAGUAACACGUGGAUAACCUACCUAUAAGACUGGGAUAACUUCGGGAAACCGGAGCUAAUACCGGAUAAUAUUUUGAACCGCAUGGUUCAAAAGUGAAAGACGGUCUUGCUGUCACUUAUAGAUGGAUCCGCGCCGCAUUAGCUAGUUGGUAAGGUAACGGCUUACCAAGGCAACGAUGCAUAGCCGACCUGAGAGGGUGAUCGGCCACACUGGAACUGAGACACGGUCCAGACUCCUACGGGAGGCAGCAGUAGGGAAUCUUCCGCAAUGGGCGAAAGCCUGACGGAGCAACGCCGCGUGAGUGAUGAAGGUCUUCGGAUCGUAAAACUCUGUUAUUAGGGAAGAACAUAUGUGUAAGUAACUGUGCACAUCUUGACGGUACCUAAUCAGAAAGCCACGGCUAACUACGUGCCAGCAGCCGCGGUAAUACGUAGGUGGCAAGCGUUAUCCGGAAUUAUUGGGCGUAAAGCGCGCGUAGGCGGUUUUUUAAGUCUGAUGUGAAAGCCCACGGCUCAACCGUGGAGGGUCAUUGGAAACUGGAAAACUUGAGUGCAGAAGAGGAAAGUGGAAUUCCAUGUGUAGCGGUGAAAUGCGCAGAGAUAUGGAGGAACACCAGUGGCGAAGGCGACUUUCUGGUCUGUAACUGACGCUGAUGUGCGAAAGCGUGGGGAUCAAACAGGAUUAGAUACCCUGGUAGUCCACGCCGUAAACGAUGAGUGCUAAGUGUUAGGGGGUUUCCGCCCCUUAGUGCUGCAGCUAACGCAUUAAGCACUCCGCCUGGGGAGUACGACCGCAAGGUUGAAACUCAAAGGAAUUGACGGGGACCCGCACAAGCGGUGGAGCAUGUGGUUUAAUUCGAAGCAACGCGAAGAACCUUACCAAAUCUUGACAUCCUUUGACAACUCUAGAGAUAGAGCCUUCCCCUUCGGGGGACAAAGUGACAGGUGGUGCAUGGUUGUCGUCAGCUCGUGUCGUGAGAUGUUGGGUUAAGUCCCGCAACGAGCGCAACCCUUAAGCUUAGUUGCCAUCAUUAAGUUGGGCACUCUAAGUUGACUGCCGGUGACAAACCGGAGGAAGGUGGGGAUGACGUCAAAUCAUCAUGCCCCUUAUGAUUUGGGCUACACACGUGCUACAAUGGACAAUACAAAGGGCAGCGAAACCGCGAGGUCAAGCAAAUCCCAUAAAGUUGUUCUCAGUUCGGAUUGUAGUCUGCAACUCGACUACAUGAAGCUGGAAUCGCUAGUAAUCGUAGAUCAGCAUGCUACGGUGAAUACGUUCCCGGGUCU